CGGGGCGGGCUCUCUCCGCACUCGCUCCGCGCCCGGCGCCGCCGCUGCGCCCUCCCGGCUGCGAGUCCGCCCGGCUGCGGAUCACGUGGCGGUUGCCGGAGGCAGAGACUAGAGAGGAGAGGAAAAAAAAAAAAAGCGCCUCAUUCCUUCUUCCACCGCCAUACUGUAUUUUAUAGUAACUCUCAUUUUUAUUCCUCCCUUUUACUCCCGCUCGUUGCUCACAGGGUGCAUCCUUGGACAAGUCACUUAGGUGCAGAUCCUGAAAGGUUUUCAAGGCUCCAAUUAAUUCCAAAGACAUCUUUAAAGGUGAUGCUUUCUGUGAAUUCUUCUGAACUGGCCCAUGAUAAAAGUAAAAACAGAUGCAGGAAGUCUGUAUGAUAAUAAAUAAUGACUAUGCUUGACAAAGUACUUCUGACAUUUUAAGAGGGAUACCAUUGAACAAAUUUAUCUGGUUUGUUGCUCGACCAUGAGAGGAAUAAUAUAGUCCAGUUGAAAGGCAGCUUUCUCAUUGGACUUGGGAAAAAUAACAAAAAAAAAAAAAAAAAAAUCACUUGCAGUCCAAAUCCACAUCUUCUCUGGGAGUUGGCUUUAUUAACGAAACACAAGCCUUCCCUGGCAUAGCAAAGUCCUGAUGGAUUUUAUUUUUUAUUUUUUUAUUUUGUCUACAAAAAAUCUACAUCUCCUACACAAUCCAGAUCUGCUUGUGUAGUUAGCCAGAGCUAUUAAAAUCUACACGUAAAAGAAAGACAGUAAGUGUUGAUUGUCUUUUUUCUUGCACAUCUGCCACAUUUUAACAGGUUACUACAGGAAAAACAAACAAACAAACAAAAAACACGCCACCCAUUCUAAGGAAGAAAACUUAGGAAAUUGAGGUAUCAACUUUUUCAGCUAAGAUGUUAAAGAGAAACUUGUCAAGAGAGGCAUUAGAGAGUGAUCUGUCAGUGUGAGCUGAACUCCAGCGUCCCUGGGAUGGUUACAAACAACUUCAUUGAGAUUUGCAUGCCUGCAAAUUCAUUUUGGAACAGUUCUAAGAACAGAGCAGGUCUGCAAGUAGAUCUUCUAGCUAAUAUAAAUCAUAAC
rnacentral:lncRNA from 1 species